UACGUAGGGUGCAAGCGUUAUCCGGAAUUAUUGGGCGUAAAGAGCUCGUAGGCGGUUUGUCGCGUCUGCUGUGAAAACUGGAGGCUCAACCUCCAGCCUGCAGUGGGUACGGGCAGACUAGAGUGCGGUAGGGGAGAUUGGAAUUCCUGGUGUAGCGGUGGAAUGCGCAGAUAUCAGGAGGAACACCGAUGGCGAAGGCAGGUCUCUGGGCAGUAACUGACGCUGAGGAGCGAAAGCGUGGGGAGCGAACAGG
rnacentral:rRNA from 1 species